GAUGAACGCUGGCGGCGUGCCUAAUACAUGCAAGUCGAACGAGUGGCGGACGGGUGAGUAAUGUCUGGGAAACUGCCCGCUGGAGGGGGAUAACUACUGGAAACGGUAGCUAAUACCGCAUACCCUCGGAUGUGCCCAGAUGGGAUUAGCUAGUAGGUGGGGUAACGGCUCACCUAGGCGACGCUCCCUAGCUGGUCUGAGAGGAUGACCAGCCACACUGUAACUGAGACACGGUCCAGAGUCCUACGGUAGGCAGCAGUGGGGAAUAUUGCACAAUGGGCGCAAGCCUGAUGCAGCCAUGCCGCGUGUAUGAAGAAGGCCUUCGGGUUGUAAAGUACUUUCAGUGGGGAGGCGUUACCCGCAGAAGAAGCACCGGCUAACUCCGUGCCAGCAGCGGCGGUAAUAC
rnacentral:rRNA from 1 species